AGCUCCAAUAGCGUAUAUUAAAGUUGUUGCAGUUAAAAAGCUCGUAGUUGGAUUUCUGGUGAGAUGGAUUAUGUCUCGUUCGAAUAGGACUUGUGCAUGGUUCGUUUUGCCCUUCUUGUCAGGAACCCGCUGAGAUUCGCGUCUUGUCGGUGGAAUGGCAUCGUUUACUGUGAAAAAAUUAGAGUGUUCAAAGCAGGCAUCGCCGUUGAAUACAUUAGCAUGGAAUAAUAAGAUAAGACUUUGGUGGUCUAUUUUGUUGGUUUGCACGCCAAAGUAAUGAUUAAUAGGGAUAGUUGGGGGUAUUCGUAUUCUAUUGCUAGAGGUGAAAUUCUUAAAUUUAUGGAAGACGAACUACUGCGAAAGCAUUUACCAAGGAUGUUUUCAUUAAUCAAGAACGAAA
rnacentral:rRNA from 1 species